rnacentral:rRNA from 1 species
GAUGAACGCUGGCGGCGUGCUUAACACAUGCAAGUCGAGCGAAGCGGUUAAGUUGAUUUCUUCGGAUUGAUUCUUAACUGACUGAGCGGCGGACGGGUGAGUAACGCGUGGGUGACCUGCCCCAUACCGGGGGAUAACAGCUGGAAACGGCUGCUAAUACCGCAUAAGCGCACAGAGCUGCAUGGCUCGGUGGGAAAAACUCCGGUGGUAUGGGAUGGGCCCGCGUCUGAUUAGGCAGUUGGCGGGGUAACGGCCCACCAAACCGACGAUCAGUAGCCGGCCUGAGAGGGCGACCGGCCACAUUGGGACUGAGACACGGCCCAAACUCCUACGGGAGGCAGCAGUGGGGAAUAUUGCACAAUGGGGGAAACCCUGAUGCAGCGACGCCGCGUGAGCGAAGAAGUAUUUCGGUAUGUAAAGCUCUAUCAGCAGGGAAGAUAAUGACGGUACCUGACUAAGAAGCCCCGGCUAACUACGUGCCAGCCGCCGCCGUAAAAC